rnacentral:sRNA from 1 species
AUUACAGGACCUUACCGUCUAACCACCGUGAAUCUACCCGACGUUGCCUCGGCGGGCGCCGCGGCGCGGGCUCGUCCCGUGCCGCCGGCGCUCACGCCCGCCGGUGGCCCGCAACUCUUCUGUCUCGCGUUGCAUCUCCGAGUACUUACAAAAUGAGUUAAAACUUUCAACAACGGAUCUCUUGGUUCUGGCAUCGAUGAAGAACGCAGCGAAAUGCGAUAAGUAAUGUGAAUUGCAGAAUUCAGUGAAUCAUCGAAUCUUUGAACGCACAUUGCGCCCGCCGGCAUCCCGGCGGGCAUGCCUGUUCGAGCGUCAUUUCCACCCUCAGGCCCAGCCUGGUGUUGGGGCACCACCUCCGUGGGCCCCCAAAGUCAGCGGCGGGCUCGCCCAGGACCCGAGCGUAGUAACACUCUCGCUCAGGGCGUCUGGCGUGCUCCGGCCGUUAAACCCAUCUUUUUUACAAGGUUGACCUCGGAUCAGGUAGGAAUACCCGCUGAACUUAAGCAUAUCAAUAAGCCGGAGGAAACAGG